GUCACACCAACCACCUAGUCAGUCCAAAUGAGAGAACCUGGAUACCUCUGUUGACGAUGCAGGAUUCACUUGCCAUUUUGUUCUUCUCUUCGUGGGAACCUCCGAUGACAGCUGUUUCUAUUUAUUCCAGUUGGGCCACAUCAUGAAACUGGAGAGGUGUGAUGGGUGCAGCAUGAACCAGGACAGAGGAAAGCAGAGAGAAGGUGCUCCACACUGAUGAAGCAGCCAGAGGAAUGGGCCUUGGCAGUGGAGGGGAACAUCUGGGCUCAGGCUCUAGACACGGUCUGCAAUUUAAAAACUGGAUUGUGAUGAGAAGCAUCUGGAGUCUGAUAAAGGCUAAUUACAGUUAAGAAAUAUGAAAAUUGAGAACUCAGGAGAAGAUCAGCUUCUACUACUGCCUGGGCAGAAUAAUCAAGAAAUUAGCACAAACUGAUGGUGACCAUAAAGAGACACUAGAGGAUAAUUGAA
rnacentral:lncRNA from 1 species